AGUUCAUUACUGCCGACAGUGGUGGCGGAAGGUGACACACGCUCACACUGGGCAGCACUUGCACUGCCUGCCGCGGUGCAGUCAUGGCUGCAUAUUCGCUGAAGUCCAUCAGCCGUAAGUGCAAACACCGCAGACCGAUGUGAGAUGGACAUUCCCGUCUUUGCGGCUUUCGGCCCAGGAUAUGAAAAAUAACAUGUGGAACAGG